CCUCAUCAGAAUCAGUGAUGUUCGUGAUCAGCAGGUCAUAGGAGUUAGAAGAAAAGUUUCUCACGAAUUGGAAACGAGGGGGAAUCUUCUGAAGACCAUGUUGUACUUCAAGGAUAAGAGAAGGCUGAUUCUCAUUAGAGCAGUUCCUGUACCACAUUAUGUAUACUCCAGAUGAUAAUUUGCAGUCACAGUAGAGAGUGAUGUUGUCUCCUGGUCUGACUCUCACCUUCAACAUGGAUCCAGAAACUAAAUCAUGACUGCAAGAAACAACUCCUGA